AGGGGUGGCAUAUGGCACUGAGUGUGGACAGUCGGGAUCCUGGACUUCUUGGCUCACAUCAGCCACUUACCUGCUAGUGCCUUUGAGCAAUCGCUCCCCCCCCCCUUUAUAAAGUGGGCACACAUGAGGCACCCCAGCUUGCUGGGUGGGAUAGCCACACAGGCCUCUCCCACGCUCUGGUCGGAGCCAGGAUGGAGCGAAGCGAUGUGGGCACUUAGCACACACCCCACAGGCGUGAGUGUACCACAGCCAGCUGUCAGGACGAGGAGGAUGACGAAGGGGUAAGUCCAGGGACCCGGGGGGCCCUAACCCAGACUGCAGGGCUUCUGUUCAAGGAGGAGGUGAGUCCAAGCUGCGGGAGGAGUAGAGGUUAGGCCCCCUGGGGAGGCAGGAGGGCGCAGCAGGGUGCCAGGAGGAAGGAGGAGCAGGUGCAGGGGCCUGGAGCCGUGGAGAGGAGUCUGAGAUGGAGCCUCUGGGAGGAGCAGAAGCCAGACUGCGAAGGGCUCCCCUGCAGGCCAAGGAGCUCGGCCUUCUCCUGGGGCUCCCGGGCCUGUCACCAGGAGCCCCGGGAAGCAUCCCCUUGGAGAGGCGCCUGAUGGACCUGUCACCACAGUGCCAUCCCGCCCGGCCGGCCCCUCACACUCGCGGGGUAAUCUGCUUUCACCGGGAACAUUGUCCUUCAGCCUCCCCAGCUCGGCUCAGAGCAGGGAGGGCGGGGCGCGCAGGGCUGAGAAGCUGCUUUCUUCACCGAACAAAUGACCUUGGGCCAGGAGCCGGAACAGCCUGGCGAGAAUUCAAACAGCCUGGGCCCGGCAGCCCUGGGCUCGCAGCCCCUCUUCCACAGGCAUCCCAGACAUCUUGGGGUUCCUACACAUGGCCAGGCCAGGAAAUGACCAUGGGGCUGGAGGCUCCUGGAGAGCAGUCGACGUGCCGUCCGCACCCAGUGCCCCCCUCCAAGCCCCCACACUGCCCAGCCUCAGAAAACAUGGAUGGAAGGACUGGGAUGCAGAGAGCUGUUCCCAUCUGUCAGAAUGCUGAUGUGGGCUCGUCUCCUCCCGACAAGGCAGAAUGAUGAUAAGGUUAUUUUUUAAUAUCAGGGAUAUUAAUACUUCUCUUUCUGAUAAUGAGCCAUGGCCUGCUCCCUCCUGCUCCCUGGGGGAGGUCCUUGGGUUGGGCUGGGGGAGGCAGGGGGUGCGUGGGGGCAAGGCUGAGAUGCAGGAGGGCCUACUGCGCGCCACGAACCCUUUCAAUCUUCACAAUAUGAGGGCAGGUGGCAGUGUCCCCGUUGGACAGGUCUGGGCCUGAGGCUCGGAGAGGGGAAGCCAGUUCCCGAAGCCACAGGGCAAGCGGCAAGGGUCAGGCUGGCGGGGCGGGGGGUGGGGGGUCCCAGCCAGGUGUGACUCCAGAGUCCGAGCCCUUUGCUGCCUCCCAACACAUUUAGAGGCUUUUUCCCACCUGCUGCCAGGAGCCCCAAUAUCCUGGGACCCCAUAGGGAGGGGCCCUGCUCCAGCCCAUGGUCAGGCUGAGAGCUCAGGCCCAGUGUGGCCCUGGCCCCAGGCCUGGCCGGACGAUCCAGCCUUCCAGCAGGGUGUGAGGCCCUCCGACCCCAUACUUAGCAGAACCUCCCUGCCCCGUCCCCUCUGGGUGCCCGGCGGUGGUCUCUCCUGGGGGCCAUGAGCUCCUCUACCUUCCCCCAGAAGCCUGAGGAGCUUAGGGAGGGUCAGCACACCCACCGGGUACCCCACAGAUCAGUAGCCAAGUGGCAUCUGCUCUCUCCCUCCCUGCGCGACCAGCCCCACGUUCUGCACUUUCCCUUCUGAGCACCCACCCCUCUCCCCCCUUCCAAUGCCUCACGACUAAGCAAGUGGGCUCUGGAAGCACAGAUCUGAGUUCAAAUCCCCAGCCUGCCACUCAGUGGCUGUGGCUUCUUGGGCAAAUAUGUCACCUCCCCCACCCCCCAUUAUUCUCGUUUUAAAGUAUAGAUAAUAAUAGAAUUUACAUCAAAGGGCUGUCGUUAAGAUUAACAGGCGUAGUGAAUACUGUGCCUUUGGAGACCUUCCCCCAGGCUGAGC
rnacentral:lncRNA from 12 species